GGAAUUUUUCCAUUUGAUAGGAUAGGUGAUAAAAACAGUAACAUUCAAUGACCUUAUCAUUUAAGAAACUGUGUAACAGCAUUUCCUGAUUACAUGGGUAAUAGCAAAAUAUUAUUUGUGAUAGUUAGAUAUAAUUCAUAUUGUUACACUCAGAAAAUAAGCUCUAAAUAGUUAUCUCACUUUUAAAGCAUUAGCGCAGGCAUAAUGUGCUUUCGACAUAUUCACAUAUCUUCCACAAAUACCUUUCACAUACAUUAAAAACAAUAAAGGAAACACAUCCAUAUGUAAAAGAACAGCUCGUUUACUCUUUUUCCAGAUACAAAUUCGUACUGCCAAGAGAGGGAGAAGAAUAUGUUUGUUCCUACUGGGGAUGAGAAAGGGCUGGAAACUACUCAGAAGAGGACAUGUGUGACAUGCGUGGACUUGUUAACCAUUUAUGACAAGUAGUGCAUCAAUCUAAUUCAAGAGAUUACUGAAAACAACAACCUUGCAUAUGCUUGGGGUGGUUUGGGUUUACAUGUUCAAGUAAAACAUAACAUUUCAAUGAAUAAAAUGUUGCAAUCCCAGAGGCAAAAUAUCUUUACCUCAUCUUUAAUCCUAUCAGAUAUCCUUAAACAUUUUUUGGCAGUCCUUAAAAUUGGACUGUCAGUAACCAAAACAGCAUGGUACUGGUACUAAAACAGAUAUAUAGACCAAUGAAAGAGAACAGAAGCCUCAGAAAUAGGGCCACAAAUCUACAAGCAUCUGAUCUUUGACAAACCCGACACAAACAAGCAAUGGGGAAAGGAUUCCCUAUUUAAUAAAUGGUGUUGGGAAAACUGGCUAGCCAUAUGCAGAAAACUUAAACUGGACCCCUUCCUUACACCUUAUACAAAAAUUAACUCAAGAUGGAUUAAAGACUUAGACAUAAGACCUAAAACCAUAAAAACCCUAGAAGAAAACCUAGGCAAUACCAUUCAGGACAUAGGCAUAGGCAAAGACUUCAUGACGAAAACACUAAAAGCAAUGACAACAAAAGCCAAAAUUGACAAAUGGGAUCUAAUUAAACUAAAGAGCUUCUGCUUAGGAAAAGAAAUUAUCAUCAGAGUGAACAGGCAACCUACAGAAUGGGAGAAAAAUUUUGAAAUCUAUCCAUCUGACAAAGGGGUAACAUCCAGAAUCUACAAAGAACUUAAACACAUUUACAAGAAAAAACAAAUGAGCCCCUCAAAAAAUGAGAGAAGGAGAUUGACAGACACUUCUCGAAAGAAGACAUCUAUGCGGCCAACAAACAUAUAAAAAAAAAUGCUCAUCAUCACUGGUCAUUAGAGAAAUGCAAAUCAAAACAACAAUGAGAUAUCAUCUCAUGCCAGUUAGAAUGGCUAUCAUUAAAAACUCAGGAAACAACAGAUGCUGGAGAGAAUGUGGAGAAAUAGGAACACUUUUACACUGUUGGUGGGAGUGUAAAUUAGUUCAACCAUUGUGGAAGACAGUGUGGCGAUUACUCAUGGAUCUAGAAUAAGAAAUACCAUUUGACCAGCAAUCUCAUUACUGUGUACAUACCCAAAGGAUUAUAAAUCACUCUACUAUAAAGUCACAUGCACACGUAUGUUUAUUGCAGCACUGUUCACAAUAGCAAAGACUUGGAACCAACCCAAAUGCCCAUCCAUGAUAGAUUGGAUAAAGAAAAUGUGGCACAUGUACACCAUGGAAUACUAUGCAGCCAUAAAAAUGAUGAGUUCAUGUCCUUUGCAGGGACAUGGAUGAUGCUGGAAACCAUCAUUCUCAGCAAACUAACACAGGAAGAGAAAACCAAACACCACAUGUUCUCACUCAUAAGUGGGAACUAAACAAUGAGAACAUAUGGACACAG
rnacentral:lncRNA from 1 species